rnacentral:lncRNA from 1 species
GUCCGUAGAUGCAAGUUGGUUUUCAAAACCACAAUUUCCAUUUGGUUUCACGAUAAGUGAUUUUUGCCCAGGCCUACCCCUAAUCUCGUUAUUCUUUACAAAAGAAGGCCCACUACAAUACACGUACCAAUACUGCACAAAAACAAACUCCCCUUCACGAGAAAAUCUUCAAUAGGUCGAUUACACCGUCCACGUGGUACAACCGUCCAAUGUUGAGAUGUCACCUUGUGGGUGGGCCAAACACCUCAGAGGUGCAUGGUGGGCCACCCUCCAAACUGGCCCUUUCUUAUAGGGUGGUGCGACCCGCCUAUUGAAGAUUUUCUCCCCCUUUUCAUAUGGUCCCUUUCAACACUUCAUUUAAGAACACAAAUAUCAUCAAUCCUCCAAAAACCACCGAAAAACAUAACGUAAUGGAAAGAGCAAGACAUAACAACUAUGUGGGCUCUCGACACGUGUCAAGAAACGAUGCAUAUUAGUCAUCAAGGCACAGUAUCCCAAGCAAAAA